AACGAACGCUGGCGGCAUGCCUAACACAUGCAAGUCGAACGAGACCUUCAGGUCUAGUGGCGCACGGGUGCGUAACGCGUGGGAACCUGCCCUUAGGUUCGGAAUAACUCCCCGAAAGGGGUGCUAAUACCGGAUAAUGUCUUCGGACCAAAGAUUUAUCGCCUUUGGAUGGGCCCGCGUUGGAUUAGCUAGUUGGUAGGGUAAAAGCCUACCAAGGCGACGAUCCAUAGCUGGUCUGAUAGGAUGAUCAGCCACACUGGGACUGAGACACGGCCCAGACUCCUACGGGAGGCAGCAGUGGGGAAUAUUGGACAAUGGGCGAAAGCCUGAUCCAGCAAUGCCGCGUGAGUGAUGAAGGCCUUAGGGUUGUAAAGCUCUUUUACCCGGGAUGAUAAUGACAGUACCGGGAGAAUAAGCUCCGGCUAACUCCGUG
rnacentral:rRNA from 1 species